ACGGGAGGCAGCAGUGGGGAGUAUUGGGCAAUGGGCGAAAGCCUGACCCAGCAACGCCGCGUGAAGGAAGAAGGUCUUCGGAUUGUAAACUUCUUUUAUGAGGGACGAAGGACGUGACGGUACCUCAUGAAUAAGCCACGGCUAACUACGUGCCAGCAGCCGCGGUAAUACGUAGGUGGCAAGCGUUAUCCGGAUUUACUGGGUGUAAAGGGCGCGUAGGCGGGGAUGCAAGUCAGAUGUGAAAUCCAUGGGCUCAACUCAUGAACUGCAUUUGAAACUGUAUCUCUUGAAUGCUGGAGAGGUAGAUGGAAUUCCUAGUGUAGCGGUGAAAUGCGUAGAUAUUAGGAAGAACACCAGUGGCGAAGGCGAUCUACUGGACAGUAACUGACGCUGAGGCGCGAAAGCGUGGGGAGCAAACAGGAUUAGAUACCCUGGUA
rnacentral:rRNA from 1 species